rnacentral:rRNA from 1 species
AUUGAACGCUGGCGGCAUGCUUUACACAUGCAAGUCGGACGGCAGCACAGAGAAGCUUGCUUCUUGGGUGGCGAGUGGCGAACGGGUGAGUAAUAUAUCGGAACGUACCGAUUAAUGGGGGAUAACUAAUCGAAAGAUUAGCUAAUACCGCAUAUUCUCUGAGGAGGAAAGCAGGGGACCUUCGGGCCUUGCGUUAUUCGAGCGGCCGAUAACUGAUUAGCUAGUUGGUGGGGUAAAGGCCUACCAAGGCGACGAUCAGUAGCGGGUCUGAGAGGAUGAUCCGCCACACUGGGACUGAGACACGGCCCAGACUCCUACGGGAGGCAGCAGUGGGGAAUUUUGGACAAUGGGCGCAAGCCUGAUCCAGCCAUGCCGCGUGUCUGAAGAAGGCCUUCGGGUUGUAAAGGACUUUUGUCAGGGAAGAAAAGGCUGUUGCUAAUACCGACAGCUGAUGACGGUACCUGAAGAAUAAGCACCGGCUAACUACGUG